rnacentral:ncRNA from 1 species
UUCUCUGGAGAGUCCCGAUCAAAAAAGCGGGCGCCGAAGGUGUACGGAAAAAAUUAUUUUUUCCAAUCUCUCAGGCAAAAGGACAGGGCGGAA